GAGAUCCAGGAGCGCCCCACGAUGGUCUAUAGCAUCAGCGAAGUGAAAAACAUCUUCACUGUGUCUCGGGUUUCCGAGUCUGUCAGCACUGCAGACGAAGUCACGAGCGCGGCUGUUGAAGAACCACCACAGGUCAUGACCCUUGAUGAGCGUGAUGGAGACGACACGCUGUCCGGACCUUCAGAAACCAACGCGGUGGCUGCAGCAGAUAAUGAAGUUGUUGUUUU